rnacentral:tRNA from 1 species
AUUCAUUUAGUAUAAAAAGUAUAUUUAACUUCCAAUUAAAUGGUUUAAAAGUUUAAAAUGAAUA